GUGGCAGGUGUGAUGAUAUCCUAUGCCUUGGGGAAGUCUAGGGAAUUUUCUUCAACCUACACUCAGAAUUAGAAAAAAACGUAAAUAAUUUAAAUUUCACGCUUUUUUGUCUUUUGUAUUGUUUAUACUUGACUAUGUUUAAGAAGUAUACUUGCUUCCCCUAAAAAGUUAAUCUAAAAUCGAUUUCAGCUAUACUAUUUUUUCCGUGUUUAGCUGACGAUGUCAGUUUGCUACAAUCACCAAGUCAACAAACGCGUUCGGAAAUUUGCUCUUGGUCGGAUGUGAUUUUGUAGGCGAAAUUGCUUAAAAAGAAAGUGUUUUUCGCGAAGUAAAUCAAGUUUACAGUUUUGCGAAAAGUGAGAAGUGUCUUUUGAGCCGUGGCACCCGAUUUCCUCCGAAUAUCAAGCGUCAUCCGUCGCGCCAUUGUGGAAUGUCCGGACCUCUGCUCCUGAAAUAACCCUGAAAAGUUUCCGGUGGUUUCAGUGUCCUAACCGGAACGCCCCAGAAACCAAACGCCCCAGACGCCGACCACUUCUGAUUGAUGCACAGCAAGAAAGUGAGGGAAUCCGACAUCUGCAAAUCCAAGCACUCGCGGGCCGCCGUUGGUCAUCACUUGGUCCGUUUUUCAACCGGCGUUAACGUGCCGCUGCUCAACUACCGUAGAGUGUGCUGAGUUACUUUUGGUUUUCACUGGACAAUGCUUCCCCGGACCGCCCCAGACGCCGAACCAAUUUGAACCGCACCGCCCCGGACCCUGAACCAAUGUAAACCGGAACACCCCGGACCCCGAACCAAUUUUAACCGUGCCGCCCCGGACCCCGAACUAAUUUGCACUGGAACGUCGCGGACCCCGAACCAACUUGAACCGGACCGCCUCAACACGUCAACUGCCUCUUGAUUGCUGCACAGUUCUUUCAGCAUGGACAGGUUGCCACAAGAACUUGGUCCGGAGGUCGCAGCGCAGUUAGCUGGUAAGUCUGUAUGCAUUUUAGUAAGUGUCAACAAAGAGUGACAUGGUCCAAACCAGACUCCUCAGACAUACAGUCAGGUUUUCUAUCCGACGUUGUCACUCACUUUACGCUCACCAUAACUUCUCAGAUGUCUUUCAAUCGAUCCUGGUGAAAUUUAGUAGUCUUUUUUACAUAUUACGCUGCAGCCACAAAUUAAAAGUUAAAUUGACUCCAUUACUGCUGAGAAAUUGCAGUGGGAGUGUCUUACAGGGAGACCUGUAGUAUGGGUUAUUACACAUGGCCUCGAUUUUUCCAAUAGUUAGGUUUAGCAGGUUUAUUUCAGAGUUUUUGAAGAAAUACGUUAAUGAUUUUUUCCAAGAUACUCUGCAAUAAUGGAACACCUGCUUU
rnacentral:lncRNA from 1 species